UGUCAGAACCCAAAUGCAUAUGGACUUGAUAGAGCCUGGAGAGUGACUGAAAUCACAGCUGCCCAACUUAUAUGCGGAAGUCUCCUACCGAGGGAAGAAAACCACAGAUUCUCAGAGCCAGAAGGAAACUGCAAAGGGGUCCUCUGUGGACAGCACACCCAGGACUCAUGAGAGGAUAAUGGCUGGAAAUUACAGGCAUGUGGCAGCUUCUGAGGGACAGAUGGAAGUAGGUUAUCUCCUCUGCUCUUACAGUAAAUCUUAAGUUUUUCUAUACAUUGUCACCUAAGAGUAGUAUGAAAUAUUUGUAUUCACUUAAAGUGGAAAGACAAUCUGCACACCUGGAGGAGAUAUUUGCAACAUUUACAACUGGCAAAGGUUUAUUACCAAGAAUAUAUAAAGAAGUCUUAUAAAUCAACAAGAAAGAAGAAAAACAACAGAAAGAAAUGGACAAAAGAAAAAGCAUUUUAUAAAAGAAGAAAUGCUCAUGGCCAGCAAACAUAUGGAGAUGUUCAAACUCAUGUGAAAUGUAAAUCAAGACCCAAUAAGAUAAGCUUUUAUGUCCACUAAAAUGGCAAAAUGUUAAUAGCUAGACAAUCCAAGUAUUGGAGAACAUACAGAUCCAUGGGAUCUCUUACAUAUCGCUUAUAAGGGUACGCAUUAGGACAUAGGACACUCACUUAGAAAAAGUGUGGCAUUAUCUUGCAAAAUCAAACACUCACAUAGGCUGCUGUGCAGGUCCUGAGUCUGUUUGCCCUCAGAUCCACUCUUUGCUAUGCCCUUAUGUCCUCAGUUUUCCAGCAGGAUCUCGGCAGCCAUGUCAUCUUGCUUCCAGUUGGGCUCAGUUAAUAAAAGAGAGAGAAUGGAAGGUGGAAAGAAGGGAGAAGCCAAGGUGUUUCUCACCAGCACCCUCCCCUUCUCCUCUCAGGUAACAUCCCCUGUGGUGGCCACAGCUCUCCGAUGGGUCCAGUUCCCACAGGAAAGCCAGCCAUGAUUCUAACUUCUACCAGGUGACCCUGGCCCUGGGCUCUGGUGACACUAACCUUUUGUUUCUCUAGUCCUGGGGAGGGGUAGUAACAGCUUCCUGCUAUUAUUAAUUUAUGGAUUGCCUCAUUGCCUCCUGUGAGGCUUCUCAGCUAUUGAUUACCAUACUACUCAGCAAUAAAAAGGAAAAAACUAUUGAUACAUGCAACAACUUUGUCGGACCACAAGAGAAUUUUACCAACUAAAAAAGCCAGUCUCACAUUGUUACAUACUAUAUGAUUCCACUUACAUAACCUUCUAGAAAUGACAAAAUUAUUGAGGUGAAGAACAGAUUAGUGGUUGCCAAGGGUUAAAGACAGGGUUGGGGUUGGAGAAAGAAAUCAGUGUACCUAAAAAGAAGCAGCCAGAGGGAUCUUUGUGGUGACGGGACAGUUCUGUAUCUUGAUUGUGGUGGUGGUUAUACAAAUCUACGUGUAAUAAAGUUUUAUGUGUGCAUAGAACUAUGUACAUACUCAAACAAAUGCAUGUAACCCUGGUGAAAUCUGAAUAAGGUCUGUGGAUUGUGCCAAUACCAGUGACCUGGUUUUGAUACUGUAUUAUAGCUAUCUAAGACAUUAUUAUCAGGAGAAAAUGGGGGAAAGGUACAUGUACUUUUCUGUACUAUUUUUGCAACUUCUCGUGAAUCUGUUACUAUUUCAAAAUUAAAAGUAUCUGAAAAUCCA
rnacentral:lncRNA from 1 species